AGGACAGAUCAUCGGACAGUCCAAGCCAGUCCUAAGGAGUCCAGAUAAGGGAUGGGGACUUCAUGAAGAACUGGAAACGUCCAAGAACAAUCAUAGGCUCAGACAAGGAUCAGGCUGACAGGAAAGAAUUGAAACCCAAAGAUAAUGUCAUGGAUUCCAGGUGGAGCAGAUCAGAAUCCUUCUUGAAG